rnacentral:rRNA from 1 species
UACGAAGGGGGCUAGCGUUGUUCGGAAUUACUGGGCGUAAAGCGCACGUAGGCGGAUACUUAAGUCAGGGGUGAAAUCCCGGGGCUCAACCCCGGAACUGCCUUUGAUACUGGGUAUCUCGAGUCCGGAAGAGGUGAGUGGAAUUCCGAGUGUAGAGGUGAAAUUCGUAGAUAUUCGGAGGAACACCAGUGGCGAAGGCGGCUCACUGGUCCGGUACUGACGCUGAGGUGCGAAAGCCAGGGGAGCAAACGGG